rnacentral:rRNA from 1 species
AGAGCGAACGCUGGCGGCAGGCCUAAUACAUGCGAGUCGAACGAACCCUUCGGGGUUAGUGGCGGACGGGUGGGUAACACGUGGGAACGUGCCUUUUGGUUCGGAACAACUCAGGGAAACUUGAGCUAAUACCGAAUGUGCCCUUCGGGGGAAAGAUUUAUCGCCAUUAGAGCGGCCCGCGUCUGAUUAGCUAGUUGGUGGGGUAAAGGCCCACCAAGGCUACGAUCAGUAGCUGGUCUGAGAGGAUGAUCAGCCACACUGGGACUGAGACACGGCCCAGACUCCUACGGGAGGCAGCAGUAGGGAAUCUUGCGCAAUGGGCGAAAGCCUGACGCAGCCAUGCCGCGUGAAUGAUGAAGGUCUUAGGAUUGUAAAAUUCUUUCAGCGGGGACGAUAAUGACGGUACCGCAGAAGAAGCCCGGCUAACUUCGUGCCAGCAGCCGC